UCACAAUGUUCACGAACACUUAUACAUACAGCACAAACGGCAUGUCGACAGUAACAGUGGGAACUAUGUAAAAUUAUUUGCAUAUUAGUGACAUUUUCCUAUGAUCGUUAUAAGUUGGUUACUUUUUUGACAUGGUCAACCAAGUUUGCCAGUUAAACGGAGACAGUGAUGAUCUAUCUAAUUAUUUUAUCUUCCGAAGAAAAGCAAUGAACUGCAGUUUGACCGGAAUAUGUAUAUAUUCUAUUUAUAUAUUUCUAUAGAACUGCCGUGAUAUUUGAUUUGACUAACUUUGCAAAGUCUGUGACAGAAAGUCUGGAUAUAAUAGGUUUAAAGAUCAAUUAUUUUGAUUUUAUUUCUCUAUAGGGACGAAAUUUAAAGGUCACCCAUAACGAAUCAUUCGUGUUGCUUAUCUAGUUGACUACAGGCAGAAGCUUGUUAGUACGAAGCUUGCCAAAGAACGGUACUUUCCAAAGCUGCCACCCAGUACGACGGUAGAGGUAUUCUUCGAAGCUGCAGUGGUGGAGAUAAUCGACGCUGACGAAAAGAACGAGAACAUGUUCGCAUCCAUUGCCUUCAGGCUGCAAUGGAAGGACAACCGUCUCACCUGGGACCCCACCCUGUACGGCGAAGAACGUCGGCUUGUUGUGACCACGAAGGAUGUGUGGAUACCCAAAGUCUUUCUUCAACGAAACGGCGACGCUAGAUUCAGUGACUUCCCCGAAGCUCCCGUAACAGUAAGAAAUGAUGGGCUAGUGGAGUGGGACAUCAUUGAUCUUCUAACGACAAAAUGCGAUCUCA